ensembl:lincRNA 4930441J16Rik RIKEN cDNA 4930441J16 gene
GUCGGGGGAUACAAUCCUCUGAAACUGGUACUCACUCUGGAAGUGUCAAGCCUGUGAGAUUGCUCAGUGGGUAAAGGUGCGUGCUACCAACCCUGAGGAUCAGAGUCGGAUCUCCAAGGCUCACAUGGUACGGUGAAAUGAGAGACAACCCUGGACAAGGAACAGUAGGACAGUCACAGUGCCUAAGCCAAAGGGCUAUGUAAGUGGAGACUCAGAGUGAAGACACUGGAGAGACCCUGACAUCCUUAUUCUGACUCUUCCCUGGGUACUCCUGACAGCAGAGUGGUUAAGAAAAGUCUUGAAGCAGUUCAGUGGCUGGACCGCCACCUACUGGUCAUUGUUAGCCACAACUGAGCCGUAGCUUAGGAAAAGAAGCUUUUUUCCUUAGGUGAGUCCAUUCAAUAAUGACAUUAAACCAAAGCCAAAGAAAAAUAACUUUACCUAAAAAUACGGAUGAAGAACCGAACCAAAUAAAAUUAAGCUGAUCUCUUAAUAAAUGUCUGUUUAUUGUU